rnacentral:lncRNA from 1 species
GGUAAUUCACAUUAUUCAGUACCCAACAUACCAGUGGAACCAAGGGGAAGGUAUCCAAACUCUAUGGAUAUCUACCAUCCAUCAAGGCCAGAAGACAGUUAUGGCGACUUUCAGCGUCAGAGGCGUGAUGAUUAUGGAAAAGCCUAUAACCGAUACUAAAUGGGUAGAUUGGAGUUUCUUUUUGGUGAGUUGUUUUAACCUUUUGGCAAGCUGAGAGCACUGAGUUUCAUUUUGUUUCACCUAAAGCAUUGGCUCUGCCAUUUUUAGGUGGAUGUGCCCUUCUCGUCAUAAAAUGUGUUCUUUUAAUGGCUAUAACCGAUACUAAAUGGGUGGAUUGGAGUUUCUUUUUGGUGAGUUGUUUUAACCUUUUGGCAAGCUGAGAGCACUGAGUUUCAUUUUGUUUCACCUAAAGCAUUGGCUCUGCCAUUUUUAGGUGGAUGUGCCCUUCUCGUCAUAAAAUGUGUUCUUUUAAUGGUAUAUUUACGGAGGUUCUGAAAGUCAAUAUUUGGAAUGGAGAAAAUGUUGGAUAGGGUGGCAGAUGAUUGAUUUUUAUACAAGGUUUGUAGCUUUUCUUUACUUAGAUGCAUUUAAUUAAAUUAGCACUUCAAAAC